UACAGAGGGUGCAAGCGUUAAUCGGAAUUACUGGGCGUAAAGCGUGCGUAGUCGGUUAUUUAAGUCGGGUGUGAAAGCCCCGGGCUCAACCUGGGAAUGGCAAUGGAUACUGGCAAGCUAGAGUGCGGUAGAGGGUAGUGGAAUUCCCGGUGUAGCGGUGAAAUGCGUAGAGAUCGGGAGGAACACCAGUGGCGAAGGCGGCUACCUGGACCAGCACUGACACUGAGGCACGAAAGCGUGGGGAGCAAACAGG
rnacentral:rRNA from 1 species